rnacentral:tRNA from 1 species
GGCAACAUGGCUCUGAUGGUAGAGCAUCAGCCUAGCAAGCAUCAAGGCCCUGAGUUCAAAUCUUAUUACUGCCA